rnacentral:rRNA from 1 species
AAUGAACGCUGGCGGCGUGCCUAAUACAUGCAAGUCGGGCGACCAGACGAGAAGAUUGCUCUCCUGACGUUAGCGGCGGACGGGCGAGUAAGGCGUGCAUAACAUACUUAUAAGACUGGGAUAAUUUCGGGAAACAGGAGAUACUACUGGAUCAUAUAUCCAACCGCUUGGAUCAAUAGUGCAAGACGCCUUUGCCGUCUCAUUUAGCUGAUUCCGCGCCGCAUUAGCUAGUUGGUAAGGUAACGGCUUACCAAGGCAACGAUGCGUAGCCGAUCUGAGAGGAUGAUCAGCCACACUGGAACUGAGACACGGUCCAGACUCCUACGGGAGGCAGCAGUAGGGAAUCUUGCACAAUGGGCGAAAGCCUGACGGAGCAACGCCGCGUGGGUGAAGAAGGUCUUCGGGUUGUAAAGCUCUUUUAUUAGGGAAGAAAAGAAGUGGAAUUAACCAUGCACGUUCUGACGGUACCUAAUCAGUAAGCCACGGCUAACUUCGUG